rnacentral:lncRNA from 1 species
UGACUAAGAAAUUAAUAUUUUGAAUAUACACUCCUACAUAAUUAAAUGCUUCUAUCAUUAAAAAGAAAAGCUAUUUUUAAGAAGAGAGUUAAUGAUCCUAAAGCUUAGAAUAUUUCAACUCACUUCAAUAAUUCUUAUAGGAAAGAAAAUGUAAUUACUUUUGAAAGAAAUUUGAGCUUCAAAAGAAUUAUUUUCUGAUUAAAAUUUCCAUACAUAUUAAAAAAAUAAGAGGAAAUAUAAUUUAUUCUUGAAAGAUUAAAAAGAGUGAUUGCUAUAAAUUUUGAAAAAUUCUAGAUCACUCUACAUUCUUGAUAUUAUAGAAGAGAGAAAAAAAAAGGUUUGAAAGAAAAUGCAUCUUUUGAGGAGGAGCUUUAAAUACUCAAUCUCUUUAUUGAAAAUUAUCUUCAAACUCUAAACUCUCAAAUGGAAUGAUUAAUUAAGGGGGAGAAAGAAAAUUUCAGAGUGAGAGAUCAUAUAGAACUUAAUCGUAUAAAUUCACAUCUAAAGAUGAGACA